rnacentral:rRNA from 1 species
GAUGAACGCUAGCGGCAGGCUUAAUACAUGCAAGUCGAGGGGCAGCAUGAUUGUAGCAAUACAAUUGAUGGCGACCGGCAAACGGGUGCGGAACACGUACACAACCUCCCAAUAAGUGGGGAAUAGCCCAGAGAAAUUUGGAUUAAUACCCCGUAACAUAACGAUGUGGCAUCACAUUGUUAUUAUAGAUUUUUCGCUUAUUGAUGGGUGUGCGGCUGAUUAGAUAGUUGGCGGGGUAACGGCCCACCAAGUCUACGAUCAGUAGCUGAUGUGAAAGCAUGAUCAGCCACACGGGCACUGAGACACGGGCCCGACUCCUACGGGAGGCAGCAGUAAGGAAUAUUGGACAAUGGACGCAAGUCUGAUCCAGCCAUGCCGCGUGAAGGAUUAAGGUCCUCUGGAUUGUAAACUUCUUUUAUAAGGGACGAAAAAAGGCUUUUCUAAGUCGUCUGACGGUACCUUAUGAAUAAGCACCGGCUAACUCCGUGCCAGCAGCCGCGGUAAUAC